rnacentral:lncRNA from 1 species
CAUGCCUUGGAAGCCUAUGCAAUUUGACAGCACCCCAGUUGAUAGAGCUUGGUUUGGCCUUGGAAGCAUCACAAAGACCCUUCAUUUGGGUUAUCAGGGAAGGACGUUAUUCAGAAGCAUUGGAAAAGUGGAUCGAGGAAAAUGGAUUUGAGGAAAGGACAAGUUCUAGAAGCCUUCUCAUUCGGGGCUGGGCUCCUCAAUUGUUAAUAUUAUCACACCCUGCAAUUGGAGGGUUCAUAACACACUGUGGUUGGAACUCUACCUUAGAGGCAAUAUGUGCUGGUGUUCCAAUGAUUACAUGGCCAAUGUUUGGUGAUCAGUUCUUGAAUGAAAGUGUAGUGGUGCACGUUUUGAAAGUUGGAGUAAAGGUUGGGGUGCAAACUCCGAUGAGAUGGGGCAAGGAAGAGGAAAUUGGUGUGGAAGUGAAAAAGGUAGACGUUGAAAGGGCAAUAAUAGAGAUAAUGGAUGUGACAAGUGAAGGUGAAGAAAGAAGAAAAAGAAUAAGAGAAUUGAGCGAGAUGGCUGAAAGAGCCGUGGAGAAAGGGGGAUCCUCUCACUCUAACGUGAACUUGCUUAUCCAGGAUAUCACGCAAAAAAUCCAGAGAGACGUGUGAUAUUCUCAUAUACCUUACACCAAUUUGAUGUAAAAGGUCACAGCUUUUAGUUUUUUACUCAAUUCUCUUUCUUUUAAAUGUUGUUCAUCAUAUUUCUCAAAUUUACUAAUUAUCUAUUAGAUUUUUUUAAAAUAUAUGGUGAGUUAGAUUGUUUUUAUUUUAUUUAUAGAAAAUUUGAAAGUUUGAAAGUUUACACUAGUUAAACUGAUAACUAGUUACACAAUAAAAAUAAACAUCAUUUUCAUUUUUGAGGUUAUCGAGCAUGGCGUAUCGGUUUUAGAGUCAAACUAAAGCAUUACUUGUCAUUUUGCUUUUUGAAUUCAUGCUUAGUGCUUGUUAUUAACUAGGUUUCUUUAAAACAAAUCACCACAAGAUUGUUUUUAAUUCGCAGUAAUUUUCUGGCAGUUUUAAAAUCAUCAGACAUUGUUAUUCUGUCAUUUGUUAUUUUCUAUUAAGACAAUAAUACAAUUAUACGUAAUUAUAUGUAAUUAUAAACUAUUAAUUUGAUAAUAAUAGAAUCUCAUAAUUAACUUUAAUUUGUAAAAAGAGUUUUCAUGCACUUAUAAUAUUUUUUAUACAUAAAAUUAUUUUUAUGUAAAUAAAAAAAAUAAAACAUUAGCAUUUUUUUUCCAUCUUCUUAUAUAUUUUCUUAUAUUUUAUGACUUCGAUUGUAACAAUAGUCAUCAUUAUUUGUUGGUAUUUUUAUAUCAUCUCAAAACGCAUGUAAUAAUGUCUUUUGUUGUGUCAACUCACCAGAAACAUAUUUUCUCGUGGUUAGAAAAAACUUCUAGAAAAUGAUCACCACUAGUUUAGUCACUUGAGUCAUUUGUUCCAAAUAAUUUUUGGUGAAUAAUUGAUGAAUAAGAAAAUCACCACUUUCGUCGAUCAAUAUAAUUAUAUGUAAUGAUUAUGUAUUGACAUUUGAUGACACUUAGUCAAGCGCAUAAUCUUUCUACCGAAAUAAUAAUACUAAAAUAUAGAGUAUAGAGGAGAGGGAUCGGGUUUUUUUCAACUAACUUUAUUUUAUUCUUUACUUUCUAUUUUUUUUUCUUUUAAUUCAAUGUUUUUAUAGUGAAAAGUUCAUCCUUAAUAGUUCAAUUAAUAAAAACUAGGAACGAAGAAUAAGUUAUUUUUAAAGUAAUUUUGUUUAUUCCUCGUAUAUGAAUAAUAAUUUUCAUGUUUAAAAAUAUUAAAUUUUUUAAACGGAAGGAAUAAAGGAACAUGAUAUAUUCAUUAGAGUAAAGAAAUAGUAAUAUUUUUUUUAAAAUAAUCACUAUAUUUGUAAAUUAUAUUAUUAAUAAUUAAAAAACUAUUGAUCCAAAAGUUCUACUUUUUCACCACUUGUAGAAUUAUUCAUUGUGUGUUAUUGUUCUAGUUCUUGUUGUCAUCAACAAAUGGUACUUUAAACAAUUAGAUUUUAACAUUUUUUUACAUGGAAAUCUCAACGAAGUGGUUUAUAUGUAGCUAUUUCCAUGGCAUAAAAAGGAUCACAAUAAGGUUUGGAAAUCGAAUAAAUCUCUACAUGUUCUUAAACUAGCUAGUAGGCAAUGAUACUUCAUGUUGUCGUGUUUAUAAACGUUUUAAGUCUAUUUGUUCUAAUUCUGUUUUUACGAAACUGUGGAUUUUGAAUAGUGGAGUAACCCAUCACAUGAUAUCUGAUUCACAAUUUUUCACACACAUUUCAUCAUUAUUUAUUCUAUUUAUUUUAAAUGUUAAUCUGCCCACGAACUCAACUGCGAUCAUCUCAUCUACGGGCACUUUUUGCAUGGUUACGUUUUGUUGAACUUGGCUACGGAGAGAAUAAUUGGCUCGGGUAAACCAUAUGCAAGCUGACCCUGAUUUAUGGCACAAGCGCCUCGAACAUCCUUUCUCUGACGCGUCUACAACUUGUAUCUUCAUUACUGCGUAUAAGUAUAAAUCUCAUUUUCAUUCAUAAUAAUUGUAGUAUUUGUCCAAAGCUAAACAGAUAAGACUACCAUUUCCUUUAAGCAAAAUAAAAUCUCAUAUUGUCCAUUUAAUCUAUUGCAUUGUGACAUUUAGGGUCAUCAUAAAAUCCCAACUCAUUUUGGAAAAUAGGUUUUUUUUUCUCACUCACUAUAGUCUAUGACUAUUUCUUAUGAAUCACAAAUCUGAAACCAACAUCUCUUAACAUCAUUAAUUACAUUUGCACAAAACUAAUUUCACACAUCUAUUAAAACCAUUUGUGUUGACCACGGAUUCAAAUUUAUUUUAAUGCCUAAUUUUUUUCUCAAAAAAAACUAUUGAAUGUCAAUGCACUUGUGUUUACACUCUCAACAAAAUGGGAUAGUAGAACCAACCGUAGAUACAUUUUAAACACAGCACAAGGAUACCUAGAAAAUUCUUCCGUAGAUAAAUGGAUUUUUUUUUUAAUGUAAAGACAUCUUACUUUAAUAAAAUAAUGUAUAUAUAUAUAGUUAAAAUCAUUUUUCAAGAGAAAAGAGAACUUACCCAAUACUUAUAAUUAUUUUACAAUUUACCUAAUCGGAUAACAUUUUCAAGAAAUUACACCUUAAUGCUAAAUUUUCUAAAGGUUUCCUUCGUAAUGUAAUAGCUCAAAACUAUGAUUAUUUGUUACUAAAACAUUCAAAAAGUAUGAUUAUUUUUUACUAAACAAUCAAAGCUAUAUAAGGAUAAUUAUGAAACGUUGAACAAUGAUGCAGCGUAUGAAUCUGUGAAACAAAAAAGGCACGUGAACCACACCUUUACAGCACUGAUGCCUCGUAUCCACCACAACUUCAUUAAACCGGUAACUGAUAAUCCUAAUUUUUUAUAUAAUUAUAUUAUAAUUUUAAUAUAUUUUAAUAUUAUUUAAUUAUAAAUUUACUUUUUAUUAUAUAUUUUCACUUAAAAUAAUCCAACUAGAGUUACGUAUGCUCUUACAUCAUUUACCAGUAAAUAAUAAUUUUGUAGUAGCCUACAUCACUCUUAUAAUAAAGGAUCAUGGACACUGCAGAGUGAAAACCCCAAAACCAAACCAAGAGAGAGGAGAGAUCUGCACUGCUACCAAUUUUUCAUCUGCCUCUUUGGAGCCAUGGUUCUCCUAACAAACAGCCCUCACUUUGUAUUAUUCCCCAUGAUGGCUCAAGGUCACAUCAUCCCCAUGAUGGACAUUGCAAGAAUAUUGGCACAGCGUGGUGUGAUUAUCACCUUAUUCACAACCCCAAAAAAUGCAUCACGUUUCAGUUCUGUUAUAUCUCGAGCUGUUUCAACAGGCCUCAAAAUCCGUGUCCUACAACUUCCUUUUCCAUCAAAAGAAGCAGGGCUACCUGAAGGGUGUGAGAAUUUGGACAUGGUAACUUCAAAUGAUAUUUCCAAAAUUUUCCAUGUCAUCCACAUGCUCCAAAAGCCAGCAGAGGAGUUCUUUGAGACACUUACGCCCAAACCAAGUUGCAUAAUCUCUGACUUCUGCAUUCCUUGGACCGCUGAAUUAGCCGAAAACUAUCACAUUCCAAGGAUUUCUUUCCACGGAUUUUCAUGUUUUUGCCUCCAGUGCCGGUACGUGAUACAUACUUCAAAGUUUUGUAAAAGCAUCACUUCAGAAUCCAAAUACUUCACUAUUCCCGGCAUACCCGACCAAAUUCAAGUUACCAGAGAGCAGUUACCAGGAUCACUUGGCAAGGAUUUGGAUGACUUUAAAGAUCAGGUGCGUCAUGCUGAAAUGAAGUCUUAUGGGGUUAUCAUAAAUAGUUUUGAAGAGUUAGAGAAGGCAUAUGUGAGGGAUUACAAGAAGGUAAGAAAUAAUAAGGCGUGGUGCAUUGGUCCUGUUUCAUUGUGCAACAAAGAUGGUUUGGAUAAGUCUCAAAGAGGCAACCAGGCCUCAAUUAACGAGCACCAUUGCUUGACGUGGCUAAAUUUGCAGCAACCCAAGUCAGUGGUCUAUGUUUGUUUUGGAAGCAUAUGCAACUUGAUUACUUCAGAACUUGUGGAGUUGGCCUUGGCCUUGGAAGAUACAAAAAGGCCAUUUGUAUGGGUCAUUAGGGAGGGAAGUCAGUUCCAAGGACUAGAAAAGUGGAUCUCUGAAGAAGGGUUCGAGGAAAGGACCAAAGGGAGAGGCCUUAUAAUUCGAGGUUGGGCACCACAAGUGAUAAUAUUAUCACACCCUUCCAUUGGAGGAUUCUUAACACACUGCGGUUGGAAUUCAACACUUGAAGGGAUAAAUGGUGGAGUGCCACUGGUUACCUGGCCUCUAUUUGGUGAUCAGUUUUUGAAUGAGAAGCUUGUUACUGAUGUGUUGAAGAUUGGAGUGAGCGUUGGGGUAGAGGUUCCAGUGAAAUGGGGAGAGGAAGAGAAGAGGGGUGUGUUGGUGAAGAAGGAUGAUAUUAAGAGGGCAAUAUGCAUGGUGAUGGAUGAAGAUGGAGAAGAAGGCAAAGAGAGAAGAGAAAGGGUAAGGAAACUGAGUGAGAUGGGAAAGAGAGCCGUUGAAGAAGGAGGCUCUUCUCAUCUUGAUAUCACUUUGCUAAUCCAAGACAUUAUGCAACAAUCAACUACCCAAGAGGCUUAAUUUGUUUUUAUCUACAGUGAUAUAUUGCAUACCUACAUAUUAUUAACCCAAAUCUAUAAGAGGAUGCAAUUUUGACGCCUAAAAGAUUCUCGAUUCAUGUUGACGUAUUUCUUUAAUUUUUACGUUCAUAUUAACCCUAUUUUAUAUGGUGGUGAUGCUGUGUUUCGAUGUGUUGAUUUACUAUUGAAGUGGAUGGAAGAAUCUGCCCCACUCAUAGAAUAUAAAAGAACUGAUGGUGGGAUUGGGAAAUUUACCCUUUGUCCAGUUAAGGUCUUAAUCAUAAUUAAUUAUAGUUUAGUGAUUGAUGGAUUACAGUACUUGCCUUUCCAACUCCAAAUAAACUCAUUUCUCCCAUCACUUUUUUUUUGCAACCAACUUUACCUCUUCUACUUCUAUUUAUAAUUUUUUUAGUGUUGAUACCUUGAUAAUAAUGUACUAAAUUAUUGAAAAAAUAUAUUUUUUUGUUUGAAAUAAAGAAAUCUUAAAAUUAUAUUUACCGAAUCACUUAUGUUUUUCAAUUUGUAGUUUUGAAAGGAACAUUUUUCAUUUUUUUUAUUAACACUAACAUCCAUUAUCCAUUAUACCUAGGUAAUAUAAUACAUUCACUUUCAAAAUAAUAUACCUUAAAAAAAUGCAGUUUAAUUUUUUUUUUAUCUAUUUAAUGAAAUAUUAUAUUAAUGUUAACUUAUAAAUAUCUUAUCUCUUAUUUUAAAUAAAUAAAAAAUAUUAAUCUUAAUACAUUUAAAACAAAGAUAUUUUUAUAAAUCAAUAAAUUAUAUUAAAUUUAAUUUAUUUUUCAUUCACAUCAAUCAUAUUUAUUAUAAAUUUUUUACCUCAUUCAACUCAUUUUUCUUACAUCUAAAAACAACCUUGAUUUUCAUUUUUUAAUAAAUUCUUAAAAAAAAGAGAAAAAGUUUGAUUUGUGUUUGUGCAAUGACAAAUUGUACACGUUCUCUUGCGCUUAAUUAUUUGUCUUAUUGUGUGACUUCACUCAUCUAGAUCUGCACGUGAUACAUCAUUAUCACUUUAGCUUUAGUUACACUUUUGUCUUGUGAUUUCUUUACUUUUAUUUUGUCUAAUAUCGUUUUAGGGUUAAUAAAUAGUUUUGUUUUAUCUUGUCUUUUAAAUCAGUUCAAUUCGAUUUGUUUUCUUCUAUAUUAAUUUAAUUGAUUUAAAAUGAUAAGGUUAAUUAACAGUGAUAUGUUUAAAUUGUCAGUAAAAAACUAUUACUAAUCAAUAAAUUUUCAGUAACAUUGUCAUUAUUCAAGACUAUUACUAAUUCAACUUACACAAAAAAAUUAAAUAUCAUCUACUCAAAGCCAAGUACCUUGAAUAACUAAAGAAGCUUUGAUCACUACAUCAGAUUAGUUCUUUUGUCAUAUUAUGAAUUUUAUUUUACUUAUUAUUAUUAUUAUUAUUAAAAAUAUUCUGUAUGUAAUAUUUUAUAUACGAAUAUCAUCCGUAUAUAAUUAUUCUUGUUUCAUGACGCCAAAAUUAUAUACGGAUUAAAUUUGUAUGUAAUCACUUUUGGCUUACAUACGAAAAAAUCCAUAUGUAACGUCUAUUUACAUAUUGAAUUAAAUCUUUAUGUAAAUAUUUGUAUGUAGUCACUUUUGACUUAUAUACAGAAAAAUUCGUAUGUAAUCACUUUUGUUUUUAUAUAUGAAAAAAAUCGUAUGUAAUCAUUUAUGUUCUUACAUACGAAAAACAUCCGAAUGUAAUGUCUAUUUCAUAAUAAAUAAAAUUCGAAUGUAAAUAUUCAUAUGUAAUGCUCAUUUUACAUACGAAUUAAGAUCUAUAUGUAAUAAUUGGUAUGUAAGUAGACAAUUUCUUGUAGUGAAAAAUACUGAUUAAAAAAUUAUAAAUGAUUUUUUUUAUAAAUGUAUAUUCAUUGUAAUUUUUAACACUCUAAAGUUUUAUAUAUUUUUAAGGUUAACUUAAUUAAUAAAACCCGAAAUUGUUUGAGAAAGAAAUUAUUACUUCCGUAAAUUGAAAAUAAUAAUUACUUGAAUAAUGUAUUCUAUCUUGUAAUAUUUGAAUUAGAAUUGUAGUUUAUACGACAGCUUAAAAUCGUCACAGUAAUUAAUAAAUUCUAUAAUUAAAAAAAUUACAAAAUUAAAAAUUCAAUUACAAUAAAACAAAUACAAGAUUAAGAAUUUAAUUAGAUUAUGUACUCAGUACUUAUCUAUUAACAUACAUAGUAAAUGUUUUGAAAAGAUUUUCAUCAUUGAUUGUUGACAUAGGACAUACAUUUAAACUUUAACAAACAAACUUUGAUUGGAUAUUUGUUAAUGACCAGUGGUUCAUUGUAUAUCACAUUAUUUAUCUAUAUAUUCGUGAUUUAAAAAGGUGCCUAGGCAUUAUUCUUGUUCAAAUUCUGAUUGGUGACUCUCAUGGACAGCUAUGGUGUGAUGAAAAAGAGAAAUACAUAAAAGUAACAAACAAAAUCCUAGUUCAUGUAUUACUAGCCAAGAGAUCUGAAAUCACGACAAAAAAGGUCAAAAUUAUUGACUCAGUAGUGUGGCAUUAUUCAAUGUGCUUGCGUAAGCGCUUACAUGAACAUUCACUAAUACAUUACAAACUCACAACAUCAACCAAUCGAAAUCGAAUUAUUUGAUGUAAUAGAUUUAGAAAUAAAUAUAUAUAAUAAAUAAUAAAUUUAUAAUUAAAUAAUAUAAAUAAAUAUUAAAAUAAUAGUAUUGAAAAUUAUAAUGUAAUUAUAUAAAAGAUUGGAGUUGGAAAUAUAUCAUUAGGCGUGUUUGUAUUAUGUGACAGACCCACAUUUAAGAACACACCAUUUAAAGGCAGCGUAAUUCAUAGAUUGUGCAUUGCCAUUUUAGUGCAAAACUAUGUCUUCCCAAGAACAAAGGCCACACUUUGUCCUGAUUCCAUUGAUGGCCCAAGGCCACUUGAUCCCCAUGAUGGACUGGGCGAAAUUAUUGGUGCACCACGGUGUUACUGUGACUGUAGUCACCACGCCGCAUAACGCAGCUCGUUUCAGACCUAUCUUCGAUCGUUAUGUUGAGAAUGAGAAUGGACUUGCUAUUAAAUUAGUUCAAGUUCGAUUCCCAUGUGAAGAAGCAGGACUGCCCGAAGGAUGCGAGAAUAUCGAUAUGAUACCUUCACUUGGCACGGCCAGGACUUUCUUCGAAGCAACAAACCUUCUACAGCAACCCGUGGAAAAACUCUUUGGAGAGUUAUCACCAUCACCAAGCUGCAUAAUCUCCGAUAUGUGUUUGCCAUUUACAUACCAUAUCGCCAAAAAAUUCAAUAUCCCAAGGAUUUCUUUUCUUGGUGUAAGUUGCUUUUGUCUUCUGUGUCAUCAUAAUAUUCUCAUCCAUAAUGUCAGGGACAACGUAGCAUCGGACUCAGAGUACUUUGUUGUGCCUGAUUUCCCUGACAAGAUUGAGAUUACCAUAGCACAGAGUGGUGUGUCGAUGAAUGAAAAGUGGGAACAGUUUCGUGAAGAAAUUGCGGUUGCUGAAAAGAGUGCUUAUGGUAUAAUCAUGAAUUCUUUUGAAGAGUUGGAGCCAGCAUAUGCAAGGGAUUACAAGAAGGUAAAAAAUGAUAAAAUGUGGUGUAUAGGACCUGUAUCACUUAUUAACAAGGAUGACUUGGAUAAGGCUGAAAGAGGUAGGGGCUCAAUCGAUGUGUCCCAAUAUCUAAAAUGGCUUGAUUGUGAGAAGGCAGGGAGUGUAAUCUAUGCAUGCCUUGGAAGCCUAUGCAAUUUAACAGCACCCCAGUUGAUAGAGCUUGGUUUGGCCUUGGAAGCAUCACAAAGACCCUUCAUUUGGGUUAUCAGGGAAGGACGUUAUUCAGAAGCAUUGGAAAAGUGGAUCGAGGAAAAUGGAUUUGAGGAAAGGACAAGUUCUAGAAGCCUUCUCAUUCGGGGGUGGGCUCCUCAAUUGUUGAUAUUAUCACACCCUGCAAUUGGAGGCUUCAUAACACACUGUGGUUGGAACUCUACCUUAGAAGCAAUAUGUGCUGGUGUUCCAAUGAUUACAUGGCCAAUGUUUGGUGAUCAGUUCUUGAAUGAAAGUUUAGUGGUUCAAGUUCUAAACGUUGGAGUAAAGGUUGGGGUGGAAACUCCAAUGACAUGGGGCCAGGAAGAGGAAAUGGGUUUGGAAGUGAAAAAGGAAGACGUUGAAAGGGCAAUAAUAGAGAUAAUGGAUGUGACAAGUGAAGGUGAAGAAAGAAGAAAAAGGAUAAGAGAAUUGAGCGAGAUGGCUAAAAGAGCCGUGGAGAAAGGGGGAUCCUCUCACUCUAAUGUCAACUUGCUUAUCCAGGAUAUUAUGCAAAAAAACAAGGGAGAUGUGCUAUAGUUUCAUUUGCCAUAAACCAUUUUCACUAAAAAUUUAUGAAUUAUCUAUGUUUUCUCUUUUCUAAGAAAAUAUUGUGCAUUAUCUUCUCACAUAUUUAAGUUAUAUUGCUUUUAAUGUCUUAAUAUAUAUUAAAAAUACUUUAAAAUAUUACUUGUGCAUUGACGUGGUAAUGCGACACGUUCAUGAUUUAGCUACCUCGUAGUGUUGGCUUAUCAAAAGCGAGUUACACUUAGUGUUAAGUCAUGGGUCUCUCCCGAUGGAAUAUAACAAAUUGUUUAUCUUUUGACCUUCAAAUUCAUCAUAGCCUCAUUGGCCUACGUCUGAGAUUGAGGGGCAUGUUAGGUUAUGGGUUUGGUUUGAUAGUUGGUCAUUUAUGAUUGUUUCCCGACCUAUUAUCUAACAUUAUGAGGGACUACAAAUCAAUGAAUCUCAAUAAAUUAACUUUAAUAACUCAAUUAAGACAUAAUCAUGACUAAAGGUGAAGAGGUUAAUUACAAUUCGAUCUAUAUAUAUCAUAUUAGACUUUACAAAAAAACAUCAUCUAAUAAACAACAUAAGGAGUACUCUCUCUCAACUCCUAUUUUAAAUUAUAUUAUAUUUAUGUUUUUAUUGACUUAAACGUCCGAGUAUCACAUAGGAGGAGUCCCUUGUUCUAAAAGAUUGAAUCACUAGAGCUUGAAGGGAGACCACAAAAAACUCUUUCAGAUGCCGAUCGACCUCAAGUUGACUAGAAAACUUAGGAUGAAAUAACUUGUGUAAAACUUAUAUAUUAAUAGAUUUUACAUCUCCCUAUGAGUGUGACUUUGAGAUCAUGGACGCCUAAGUUAAAAAAAUCUAGACAAUAUUUUAUAAUUUUUUAAUCUUAAAUUUUAUUAUCUUUAUAAAAUUAAAAACUCAUUAUAAAUAUAAUAAUUAAAAAAAUACUUAAAAAAUAAUAAUUUACUAUUUUUAUAGAUAAAUAAGAAAGUAUAUUAUGAAAAUAUAUAUUAAAAUAAAGCAUGAAAUAAAAUAUAAACGUGUACUUGUAAAUAUAUAUAAUAUUAAAUAAAUAAUAAAAAAUAUUUAAUUAUAUUCAUUAUAUAAAUAAUAUUAUAUAACAAUAAAGUAUUAAAAGAUUAAUGUAAAUUGUGAAAUAGAAUAAAUUAAUCAAUAUUUAAAUAUCUAAUCCACUCUGCAGUUUAUACAUGGGUCCCUCAUUAUCAUCCCAACUUGUGGAGGAAAACAACAGAAGAGAACGAACCAAAUAUUCAAAUUCGUGUUACCGUCAUUUUAACUUUUUUUUUUUUUUUUCAUUUUGUUUUCUAAUGCAUGCCGACUCCAUAGACUUCACAAAUAAUUUGUUUUGUAAGGAUGAGAGAGCUUGCAUGUUUUUUCUUCCGUUAAGAAAAGUGUUUUCUUAUAUAUAAUUUUACUCAUUUUAAUAAAUAAUUGUACAUUAAUUAUUAUUUUCAACUUUUACAUCCCAAUUAGAUUGGUAUUCAAAGGUUUACAUGAAUUACAAGAAUCAUUUCACCUCAACCUUUGUUCUUCUAAGUUUUGCAAAUGUCGAGUAAUAAAUAUUUCGUAUAUAUGUAUAAUUUAAGAAGUAAGCAUAAGUACAAUUCAUCUUUCCCAAACUAGUUUGAAAGGUGAGAAUUAAAUAGUGUAAACUAAUUUUAUUUCUAGUCUAUGCCUAAUUUCUAAUCAAUAUAUAUGUUUUUUUUUUGUGUUUUCUGCAUUUGCAUUGUUUUAGACAAUUGUAAAAGUCAUUUUAGAAGACGAUCAUACUUCAGGAUGAAUGUAAUAUAAGAAUCUUAAUUAUACAGUGGAAAUUAAUUGAAAUAUUAUUAAUUCUGACUACAAUUACAUGAUCAAGAUUAAUAAGAUGAACUCGUGUAUCACGAGGGCAUGCAUCUAAAAGUUUUUAGAAUUUCUCCACACAUGAUUUAUGUGGUCCAACAUGUACCUCACAUUAUUCUUAUUGCAAUCAAAAAUGUUUUUUUACAUCCAUACUCUAUCCUAUAUCCCAAUAAAUAUUGACAUUUUAAUUAUUUAUAAUUUUUUUAAUUUUAAAAAUUAUUUUAACAUUUUAUAUUUUGCUUAUAUUUUUAUUAAGAUUUUUUUUAAAUUUUUUAUUGUAAAUAUAUUGUUAGUGUAAAAUGGAAUUAAGCGUCAAAAUAUCACCGAUUGCAAUUUCGAUACUCAUGCAGACUUGCAGUACACAAGGGACAUAAUUUUUUGUGCUCGAUCUACAAAGAAACUUGAUGAUACAUAAUAAAACUUUCCAAUUUCUUGUAUUUGGGUCUAACAGAUAAUGCUAAACCAAAAAGACAAAAGGCAAGGAAAUCUCCAAUGCACUGUCACCUAAUACAAAGUAAAUUGUAUAGCAAUGCAAUUAUAUUUUUUACUGUUUGUCAUUUAGAAAAUGUGAAAAAAAUUAAUUUGAUAUUAAUUUUUAAAAUAAUUUAAUUGAUUGAUUGAUUAAAAUUAAAAGUUAACUAGUUGAAAUAUAAAAUAUGGUUAAAAUAACAUAAUUAUAUAUGCAUGAAUUUUAAUCUCAAAGUAUCCUUAUAAUGACUUGAAUAAUAAUUUAUACUAUUAAUAAAGAAUAUAUAUGUAUUUCUUAUUAGUAAAUUUUUUAGAUAUUUUAUUAUUUUAAAAAUCACCCACCUCCUAAAUAAUAUGGAAGAAAAAAGUUAUAAGAGAAUGAGGGUGUGUCUUUGGAAGAUUUGGAGAUCUAAAAUAUUAUUUGUUUUUUAGCUCAUAUCACCAUGAUAAUUUUAUUUUUAAAAAGUGUCCUCCACCGUUAAAAGUGAAAGAUGUAUUUAAAUUGGUUUUACUUCCGACUUCUUAGCCAUUAGAGAUUUAACAUAAUGAAAUAAUACCCCAAUUUGUUAUUAUAACAAAAAAAAAUCAAACUCUAUGAUAUUUCUAAACUUAAGAGAAAUAGUAAUUCUUUUACUAAUAAUAAUAAGGAAAACUUUCUUUUAACACUGUUGAACAGUUAAAAACAUACCUUUAACAACAGUUUAUAAUAAUACAAUAAUAUUUCUAAUUAAAAAAUAAAUCAAAAGUAAAUAAAAUAUUAAUUUAUUCUGUUUACGGUGUUAAUAUAUCACCGCUCUAAUAAUAAACCUAUGAACUGGUAUUAUUAAGGAAAAGAUUUUGUUGCUAAAAAAAAUAAAAAAUACUUCACACUCUAAUAAUAAUAUUUUUAAUUAAAAAUAUAUUAAUUUUUUAUACGUGAAAUAAAUGUUUGGCACUGUGUGUAUGGUGUUAACGAUCCUAUUAUUAAUAGUUCAAAUCUUGGUUAAAACACAUGCAUGAACUGUAUCACUGGUCCAAAUGGACAUUAUUCUCUCUCCAAUGAAGCCUCUUAUGGCCGGCUUGGUUUCCUCCGACAAAGGGAUCCGACAUUAUGAUACAAACAUACUAUGUAUUACGUAGCAACAAAACUUUCCAACUGAAUGCAUUUGUUUCUGCAGAAGAUGCAAAUCCAAACAGACAAAACGCAACGCAAUUUGCAAUGCACUGUCUCAUAUUCCAAGGUAUUCACGUAGUUGCAUCGAGAGAGGCUGCAUGACGCGUCUAUAAAUAAAUAAACAGGUUGAAGUGAAUUCAUUGCAGAAUACCAUUCCACAACAAGAAUGGGUCCCCAAGAUCAGCAACUCCACUUCGUCUUGUUUCCAUUGAUGGCUCAAGGCCACAUGAUCCCCAUGGUGGACAUUGCAAAAGUAUUGGUGCGACGCAAUGUUAUUGUGACUGUAGUCACUACCCCAAACAAUGCAGCUCGUUUCACGUCAAUCUUUGAUCGUUAUGUUGAAUCUGGGUUUCAAAUCAGAUUAGUUCAACUUCAAUUCCCAUGUAAAGAAGCUGGAGUACCAGAUGGAUGUGAGAAUCUCGAUAUGAUACCUUCACUGGGCAUGGCCGCUGGCUUCUUCAAUGCAACAAACUUACUUCGACAACCAGCUGAAAAACUGUUUGAAGAGUUAACACCAGCACCAAGCUGCAUCAUCUCCGAUAUGUGCUUACCGUAUACAAACCACAUUGCUAAAAAGUUUAAAAUUCCCAGGAUUUCUUUUGUGGGAGUAAGUUGCUUCUAUCUCUUUUGCAUGUCUAAUAUACGUAUCCAUAAUGUUAUGGAGAGCGUAACUACUGAAUCGGAGUACUUUGUUGUGCCUGGUAUACCUGACAAAAUUGAAAUGAACGUAGCUAAGUCCGGACUAGCAAUUAAUGAAGGCAUGAAACAGGUUACUGAUACAUUGUUUGAAGCUGAAAUGGAAGCUUAUGGGAUGAUCAUGAAUUCUUUUGAAGAGCUGGAGCCAGCCUAUGCAGGGGGAUACAAGAAGAUGAGAAACAAUAAACUGUGGUGUUUGGGACCACUGUCAUAUAGCAACAAGGAUCACUUGGAUAAGGCUCAAAGAGGUAGAAUGGCCUCAAUUGAGGAGUGCCACCUGAGGUGCUGGCUUGAUUGUCAAAAGCUAGGAACUGUAAUCUAUGCAUGCUUUGGAAGCCUGUGUAAUUUAACAGCACCACAGUUGAUAGAGCUUGGUUUGGCCUUGGAAGCAUCACAAAGACCCUUCAUUUGGGUUAUCAGGGAAGGAAGUUAUUCAGAAGCAUUGGAAAAGUGGAUCGAGGAAAAUGGAUUUGAGGAAAGGACAAAUGGUAGAAGCCUUCUCAUUCGGGGCUGGGCUCCUCAAUUGUUAAUAUUAUCACACCCUGCAAUUGGAGGGUUCUUAACACACUGUGGUUGGAACUCUACCUUAGAAGCAAUAUGUGCUGGUGUUCCAAU